rnacentral:rRNA from 1 species
AUUGAACGCUGGCGGAAUGCUUUACACAUGCAAGUCGAACGGCAGCACGGGGCAACCUGGUGGCGAGUGGCGAACGGGUGAGUAAUACAUCGGAACGUGCCCAAUCGUGGGGGAUAACGUAGCGAAAGUUACGCUAAUACCGCAUACGAUCUACGGAUGAAAGCGGGGGAUCGCAAGACCUCGCGCGAGUGGAGCGGCCGAUGUCUGAUUAGGUAGUUGGUGGGGUAAAGGCUCACCAAGCCAACGAUCUGUAGCUGGUCUGAGAGGGCGACCAGCCACACUGGAACUGAGACACGGUCCAGACUCCUACGGGAGGCAGCAGUGGGAAUUUUGGACAAUGGGCGCAAGCCUGAUCCAGCCAUUCCGCGUGCAGGAUGAAGGCCUCGGUUGUACGUU